rnacentral:rRNA from 1 species
AGCAGUGGGGAAUCUUGGACAAUGGGGGAAACCCUGAUCCAGCGAUGCCGCGUGUGUGAAGAAGGCCUUCGGGUUGUAAAGCACUUUAGGUGGGGAAGAAAGGUAACGGGCGAAUAACUCGUUGCUAUGACGGUACCCGCAGAAUAAGCACCGGCUAACUCUGUGCCAGCAGCCGCGGUAAUACAGAGGGUGCAAGCGUUAAUCAGAAUGACUGGGCGUAAAGGGCGUGUAGGUGGUUGACUAGGUUUGAUGUGAAAUCCCCGGGCUUAACCUGGGAAUUGCGUCGAAACGGGUCGACUCGAGUGAGAUAGAGGGUUGUGGAAUUUCCGUGUAGCGGUGAAAUGCGUAGAUAUCGGAAAGAACAUCAGUGGCGAGCGACACUGGAUCUUAACUGACACUGA